rnacentral:snoRNA from 1 species
GAGUUAACUAUGAUUAUAAAAAUAAUUCUUCAUUCUGAUUUGCUUAAUUUGGGUGUAACAAGCCUCUUAUUAGAACCAUAGAAUUUGAACUAU